rnacentral:rRNA from 1 species
UGAGGAAUAUUGGUCAAUGGACGCAAGUCUGAACCAGCCAUGCCGCGUGCAGGAAGACGGCCCUAUGGGUUGUAAACUGCUUUUAUAUAGGAAGAAACCCCUUUACGUGUAGAGGGCUGACGGUACUAUAAGAAUAAGCACCGGCUAACUCCGUGCCAGCAGCCGCGGUAAUACGGAGGGUGCAAGCGUUAUCCGGAAUCAUUGGGUUUAAAGGGUCCGCAGGCGGGCUAAUAAGUCAGUGGUGAAAUCCUACAGCUUAACUGUAGAACUGCCAUUGAAACUGUUAGUCUUGAAUUCGAUCGAAGUAGGCGGAAUGUGUAGUGUAGCGGUGAAAUGCAUAGAUAUUACACAGAACACCGAUAGCGAAGGCAGCUUACUAGGUCUGAAUUGACGCUCAUGGACGAAAGCGUGGGGAGCGAACAGG